GGAUGGAUAAGCCGAAAGAUUCUGGGUAACGGCAGCGGUCUUGAAAACCGGGCAGUCUCUAAGACGUGGGGGUUCGAAUCCCUCUCCAUCCGCCA
rnacentral:tRNA from 1 species